UACAGAGGUCCCAAGCGUUGUUCGGAUUCACUGGGCGUAAAGGGUGCGUAGGCGGUCGGGUAAGUCUGAUGUGAAAUCUCACAGCUUAACUGUGAAACUGCAUUGGAUACUAUCCGGCUCGAGGAAUGGAGGGGAGACUGGAAUACUUGGUGUAGCAGUGAAAUGCGUAGAGAUGUGGAGGAACACCGAUGGCGAAGGCAGCCCCCUGGGUCAAGAUUGACGCUCAUGCACGAAAGCGUGGGGGAGCAAACAGG
rnacentral:rRNA from 1 species